AGUUGAAAGUAUUACCAGCAGGGGUGGGAUUCUACCGGUUUGGCCCAGUUCUGCCGAGCCAGUAGCUCCAAAGAUCAGCUGAGAGGGAACCGGUUCACUCCAAUUAUCUUCUGUUCUUCUGCUUGGCCCACUGCCUGUUCAGGCUGUAGGCUGUC